UACGUAGGGGGCAAGCGUUGUCCGGAAUCAUUGGGCGUAAAGCGCGUGUAGGCGGCUCGGUAAGUCUGCUGUGAAAGUCCAGGGCUCAACCCUGGGAUGCCGGUGGAUACUGUCGAGCUCGAGUCCGGAAGAGGCGAGUGGAAUUCCUGGUGUAGCGGUGAAAUGCGCAGAUAUCAGGAGGAACACCAAUGGCGAAGGCAGCUCGCUGGGACGUGACUGACGCUCAGGUGCGAAAGCUAGGGGAGCGAACAGG
rnacentral:rRNA from 1 species